UACGCAGGGGGCUAGCGUUGUUCGGAAUUACUGGGCGUAAAGCGCACGUAGGCGGAUUCUUAAGUCUGGGGUGAAAGCCCGGAGCUCAACUCCGGAACUGCCUUGGAUACUGGGAGUCUCGAGGAUGGAAGAGGUCAGUGGAAUGCCGAGUGUAGAGGUGAAAUUCGUAGAUAUUCGGCGGAACACCAGUGGCGAAGGCGACUGGCUGGUCCAUUUCUGACGCUGAGGUGAGAAAGUGUGGGGAGCAAACAGG
rnacentral:rRNA from 1 species